rnacentral:rRNA from 1 species
ACGAACGCUGGCGGCGUGCCUAAUACAUGCAAGUAGAACGCACAGUUUAUACCGUAGCUUGCUACACCAUAAACUGUGAGUUGCGAACGGGUGAGUAACGCGUAGGUAACCUGCCUGGUAGCGGGGGAUAACUAUUGGAAACGAUAGCUAAUACCGCAUAAUAUUGAUUAUUGCAUGAUAAUUGAUUGAAAGAUGCUAUUGCAUCACUACCAGAUGGACCUGCGUUGUAUUAGCUAGUAGGUGAGGUAACGGCUCACCUAGGCGACGAUACAUAGCCGACCUGAGAGGGUGAUCGGCCACACUGGGACUGAGACGCGGCCCAGACUCCUACGGGAGGCAGCAGUAGGGAAUCUUCGGCAAUGGACGAAAGUCUGACCGAGCAACGCCGCGUGAGUGAAGAAGGUUUUCGGAUCGUAAAGCUCUGUUGUAAGAGAAGAACGGGUGUGAGAGUGGAAAGUUCACACUGUGACGGUAUCUUACCAGAAAGGGACGGCUAACUACGUG